rnacentral:misc_RNA from 1 species
GAAAAAUUAAAUAAAGCAAAAAGCUCAACAUCCAGUGCUUUCCAUGCCUUCAAACCAAAUAAACAGGAAUCCCCAAACCCAAAAUCCUAAUACCCUGAAAAAGAGAUUCAGAGAGAGCAAAAACCUCUUGGUGAGCAAUAAUGGGAGGCGUAAUAACAAGAAGGAACCAUUUUCACCUCACUUUCCUUUUCUUCACUUUCCUUUCUUUUCUUGUCUCAGGAUUUGCUUUCUCUGCAGACACCUUAUUAUCAACCCAUUUUCUCUCAGGCGACCAAAAGCUUCUGUCUUCAAGACAGGUUUUUGAGCUUGGGUUCUUCACUCCAGGAAAUUCCAACAAGUGGUAUGUGGGGAUAUGGUAUAAGAACAUUCCUAAUAGAACAUAUGUCUGGGUGGCUAA